rnacentral:rRNA from 1 species
CUCAGGUUGAACGCUGGCGGCAGGCCUAACACAUGCAAGUCGAGCGGUAACAGAAAGUAGCUUGCUACUUUGCUGACGAGCGGCGGACGGGUGAGUAAUGCUUGGGAACAUGCCUUGAGGUGGGGGACAACAGUUGGAAACGACUGCUAAUACCGCAUAAUGUCUACGGACCAAAGGGGGCUUCGGCUCUCGCCUUUAGAUUGGCCCAAGUGGGAUUAGCUAGUUGGUGAGGUAAUGGCUCACCAAGGCGACGAUCCCUAGCUGGUCUGAGAGGAUGAUCAGCCACACUGGAACUGAGACACGGUCCAGACUCCUACGGGAGGCAGCAGUGGGGAAUAUUGCACAAUGGGCGAAAGCCUGAUGCAGCCAUGCCGCGUGUAUGAAGAAGGCCUUCGGGUUGUAAAGUACUUUCAGUUGUGAGGAAGGGGUACGUUAAUAGCGUUAUCUCUUGACGUUAGCAACAGAAGAAGCAACGGCUAAG